rnacentral:misc_RNA from 1 species
GAUGAAGAACGCAGCGAAAUGCGAUAAGUAAUGUGAAUUGCAGAAUUCAGUGAAUCAUCGAAUCUUUGAACGCACAUUGCGCCCGCCAGUAUUCUGGCGGGCAUGCCUGUUCGAGCGUCAUUUCAACCAUCAAGCCCCGGGCUUGUGUUGGGGACCUGCGGCUGCCGCAGGCCCUGAAAAGCAGUGGCGGGCUCGCUGUCACACCGAGCGUAGUAGCAUACAUCUCGCUCUGGGCGUGCUGCGGGUUCCGGCCGUUAAACCACCUUUUAACCCAAGGUUGACCUCGGAUCGGGUAGGAAGACCCGCUGAACUUAAGCAUAUCAAUAAGCGGAGGA